UAUACUCUUUGUACUCCCCUUCAUAAUUUUAGUGAGAGGAGUUGUGGUUUGUAAUGCCAAUUUGGUGUUUCUUUUGUUAGCGGAAUCGUGGUCUGUAAUGCCAAUUUGGCCUUUCCCGAAAGAACUGGUUUAUCUUCAUCACUGAAAUAAUCCUGAUUCCUAAGGAGUUGAUCCUGUGAUGGCAAGCUUAACCAUUUGCUGGGAUGCGACGUUGCUCGCGCUCAAAUGUGAAUGAUUAUCUUUCGAGAUAUAUAGGAUUGCUCUAAGAUGCUUUAUGGGCCCCGAGUGUCGAAAAGAUGUGUAGUUUAUAGAUUGGAGAGAUUCUUUUCAAACUCAACCUGUGUCACAAGCUACUUGGUUACUUCUCAUUACUUGGAGGAUGCAUGGAUUGGAGAGAUUAUGGAUGAGGACUUAAUUAUGUGUAGCUAUGAUAUCUUUUAAUUUUGGUCAUAUGUAUCUUACAAGAAUUCCAGUAUAUAUUUUGGUCACCUGUAUCAGAAUAAGGAUGCACAUUUAAUUAUUACAACAUCCAAGCC